CAGAGUAGAACAGCCGGGAAAGC
rnacentral:rasiRNA from 1 species